AGAGUUUGAUCAUGGCUCAGGACUAACGCUGGCGGUGCGCCUAACACAUGCAAGUCGUACGAGCCCUUCGGGGCGAGUGGCAGACGGGUGAGUAACGCGUAGGUAAUGUACCUCUUCGCUGGGGAUACCUAUCCGAAAGGAUAGCUAAUACCGAAUGAACUUAUUGAACGGCAUCGUUUGAUUCGUAAACCUCUGGGGCGAAGAGAUCAGCUUGCGUACUAUCAGCUAGUAGGUGGGGUAACGGCCUACCUAGGCGACGACGGUUAGCCGGUCUGAGAGGAUGAUCGGCCACAUUGGAACUGAAACACGGUCCAGACUCCUACGGGAGGCAGCAGUGAGGAAUCUUGCGCAAUGGGCGAAAGCCUGACGCAGCGACACCGCGUGAGGGAUGAAGGUCUUCGGAUUGUAAACCUUUGUCAGUGGGGACGAGAACGGACGGUACCUACUGAGGAAGCAUCGGCUUACUACGUGCCAGCAGCCGCGGUAAUACGUAGGAUGCAAGCGUUGUCCGGAAUUACUGGGCGUAAAGAGCUCGUAGGCGGGAAGGUACGUUUGGAAGUAAAUCUCACGGCUCAACUGUGAGCUCAUUCCAAAUACGGCUUUUCUUGAGGGCAGCAGGGGAGAAUGGAAUUCCCAGUGUAGCGGUGAAAUGCGUAGAUAUUGGGAAGAAUACCGGUGGCGAAGGCGAUUCUCUGGGCUGUAACUGACGCUGAGGAGCGAAAGCGUGGGUAGCGAACGGGAUUAGAUACCCCGGUAGUCCACGCUGUAAACGAUGGAUGCUAGACGUGUGGGGUAUCAACCCCCUGCGUGUCGCAGCUAACGCAUUAAGCAUCCCGCCUGAGGAGUACGGCCGCAAGGUUAAAACUCAAAGGAAUUGACGGGGGCCCGCACAAGUGGUGGAGCAUGUGGUUUAAUUCGACGCUACGCGAAGAACCUUACCUGGGUUUGACAUUCACAGGAAGAGUGCAGAGAUGUGUUCGCCUUCGGGCCUGUGAACAGGUGCCGCAUGGCUGUCGUCAGCUCGUGCCGUGAGGUGUUGGGUUAAGUCCCGCAACGAGCGCAACCCCUAUUUUCAGUUACCAUCGGGUAAAGCCGGGGACUCUGGAGAGACUGCCGUUAUAAAACGAAGGAAGGCGGGGAUGACGUCAAGUCAGCAUGGUCCUUACGUCCAGGGCUACACACGUGCUACAAUGGUCGGUACAAAGGGAAGCGAAGUCGCGAGGCGGAGCAAAUCUCAAAAAGCCGAUCCCAGUCCGGACUGCAGGCUGCAAUUCGCCUGCACGAAGUCGGAAUCACUAGUAACCGCAGGUCAGCUACACUGCGGUGAAUACGUUCCCGGGCCUUGUACACACCGCCCGUCACGUCAUGAAAGCUAGGAGAGCCCGAAGCGGUUGAGCUAACCUUUUAGGAGGCAGGCCACGAAGGUUCUCCCAGUGAUUGGGACGAAGUCGUAACAAGGUAGCCGUAUCGGAAGGUGCGGCUGGAUCACCUCCUU
rnacentral:rRNA from 1 species